AUGAAGGCUAUAUACAGGGUAUUACGGUACAGAGUCAAUGUGGAGGUUAUAUUCAGGGGGUACUGGUACAGAGUCAAUGUGGAGGCUAUAUACAGGGGGUACUGGUACAGAGUCAAUGUGGAGACUAUAUACAGGGUAUUACGGUACAGAGUCAAUGUGGAGGCUAUAUACAGGGUGUUACGGUACAGAGUCAAUGUGGAGGCUAUAUACAGGGUGUUACGGUACAGAGUCAAUGUGGAGGCUAUAUACAGGGUGUUACGGUACAGAGUCAAUGUGGAGGCUAUAUACAGGGUGUUACGGUACAGAGUCAAUGUGGAGGCUAUAUACAGGGUGUUACGGUACAGAGUCAAUGUGGAGGCUAUAUACAGGGUAUUACGGUACAGAGUCAAUGUGGAGGCUAUAUACAGGGUGUACCGGUACAGAGUCAAUAUGGAGGCUAUAUACAGGGUAUUACGGUACAGAGUCAAUGUGGAGGUUAUAUUCAGGGGGUACUGGUACAGAGUCAAUGUGGAGGCUAUAUACAGGGGGUACUGGUACAGAGUCAAUGUGGAGACUAUAUACAGGGUAUUACGGUACAGAGUCAAUGUGGAGGCUAUAUACAGGGUGUUACGGUACAGAGUCAAUGUGGAUGCUAUAUACAGGGUAUUACGGUACAGAGUCAAUGUGGAGGCUAUAUGCAGGGUAUUACGGUACAGAGUCAAUGUGGAGGCUAUAUACAGGGGGUUACGGUACAGAGUCAAUGUGGAGGUUAUAUACAGAAUAUUACGGUACAGAGUCAAUGUGGAGGCUAUAUACAGGGUAUUACGGUACAGAGUCAAUGUGGAGGCUAUAUACAGGGUAUUACGGUACAGAGUCAAUGUGGAGGCUAUAUACAGGGUAUUACGGUACAGAGUCAAUGUGGAGGCUAUAUACAGGGUAUUACGGUACAGAGUCAAUGUGGAGGCUAUAUACAGGGUGUUACGGUACAGAGUCAAUGUGGAGGCUAUAUACAGGGUAUUACGGUACAGAGUCAAUGUGGAGGCUAUAUACAGGGUAUUACGGUACAGAGUCAAUGUGGAGGCUAUAUACAGGGUAUUACGGUACAGAGUCAAUGUGGAGGCUAUAUACAGGGUGUUACGGUACAGAGUCAAUGUGGAGGCUAUAUACAGGGUGUUACGGUACAGAGUCAAUGUGGAGGCUAUAUACAGGGUAUUACGGUACAGAGUCAAUAUGGAGGCUAUAUACAGGGUAUUACGGUACAGAGUCAAUGUGGAGGUUAUAUUCAGGGGGUACUGGUACAGAGUCAAUGUGGAGGCUAUAUACAGGGGGUACUGGUACAGAGUCAAUGUGGAGACUAUAUACAGGGUAUUACGGUACAGAGUCAAUGUGGAGGCUAUAUACAGGGUGUUACGGUACAGAGUCAAUGUGGAGGCUAUAUACAGGGUAUUACGGUACAGAGUCAAUGUGGAGGCUAUAUGCAGGGUAUUACGGUACAGAGUCAAUGUGGAGGCUAUAUACAGGGGGUUACGGUACAGAGUCAAUGUGGAGGUUAUAUACAGAAUAUUACGGUACAGAGUCAAUGUGGAGGCUAUAUACAGGGUAUUACGGUACAGAGUCAAUGUGGAGGCUAUAUACAGGGUAUUACGGUACAGAGUCAAUGUGGAGGCUAUAUACAGGGUAUUACGGUACAGAGUCAAUGUGGAGGCUAUAUACAGGGUAUUACGGUACAGAGUCAAUGUGGAGGCUAUAUACAGGGUAUUACGGUACAGAGUCAAUGUGGAGGCUAUAUACAGGGUGUUACGGUACAGAGUCAAUGUGGAGGCUAUAUACAGGGUAUUACGGUACAGAGUCAAUGUGGAGGCUAUAUACAGGGUAUUACGGUACAGAGUCAAUGUGGAGGCUAUAUACAGGGUGUUACGGUACAGAGUCAAUGUGGAGGCUAUAUACAGGGUAUUACGGUACAGAGUCAAUGUGGAGGCUAUAUACAGGGUAUUACGGUACAGAGUCAAUGUGGAGGCUAUAUACAGGGGGUUACGGUACAGAGUCAAUGUGGAGACUAUAUACAGGGUAUUACGGUACAGAGUCAAUGUGGAGGCUAUAUACAGGGUAUUACGGUACAGAGUCAAUGUGGAGACUAUAUACAGGGUAUUACGGUACAGAGUCAAUGUAGAGGCUAUAUACAGGGUAUUACGGUACAGAGUCAAUGUGGAGGCUAUAUACAGGGGGUACUGGUACAGAGUCAAUGUGGAGGCUAUAUACAGGGGGUACCGGUACAGAGUCAAUGUGGAGGCUAUAUACAGGGUAUUACGGUACAGAGUCAAUGUGGAGGCUAUAUACAGGGUAUUACGGUACAGAGUCAAUGUGGAGGCUAUAUACAGGGUAUUACGGUACAGAGUCAAUGUGGAGGAUAUAUACAGGGGGUACCGGUACUGA
rnacentral:lncRNA from 1 species